rnacentral:rRNA from 1 species
CCGUUCGCCACGCCCGACUCAAGAACACAAACGGAAGUUAGACGGGGGCCCGGCCGACAAGCGGUGGAGGCAUGUGGUUUAAUUCGAUGAUACGCGAGGAACCUUACCUGGCUCAAAUGUAUGUUGACGUAUUCUGAAAGGGAUACUUCUUCGGACAAUAUACAAGGUGCUGCAUGGUUGUCGUCAGCUCGUGCCGUGAGGUGUCGGGUUAAGUCCCAUAACGAAGCGCAACCCUAUCAUUAGUUGCCAUCAGGUCAAGCUGGGGACUCUAAUGAAACUGCCUACGCAAGUAGUGAGGAAGGUGGGGAUGACGUCAAAUCAGCACGGCCCUUACGUCCAGGGCUACACACGUGCUACAAUGGCCGGUACAAAGGGCAGCUACCUGGUGACAGGAUGCUAAUCUCAAAAGCCGGUCUCAGUUCGGAUCGGAGUCUGCAACUCGACUGCGUGAAGUCGGAAUCGCUAGUAAUCGUGAAUCAGAAUGUCACGGUGAAUACGUUCCCGGGCCUU